GCUAAUAGAUGAGCCUAAGUCGGAUUAGCUAGUUGGUGGGGUAAAGGCCUACCAAGGCGACGAUCUGUAGCGGGUCUGAGAGGAUGAUCCGCCACACUGGGACUGAGACACGGCCCAGACUCCUACGGGAGGCAGCAGUGGGGAAUAUUGGACAAUGGGCGGAAGCCUGAUCCAGCCAUGCCGCGUGUGUGAAGAAGGCCUUUUGGUUGUAAAGCACUUUAAGCGAGGAGGAGGCUCCUUAAAUUAAUACCUUAAGAUAGUGGACGUUACUCGCAGAAUAAGCACCGGCUAACUCUGUGCCAGCAGCCGCGGUAAUACAGAGGGUGCGAGCGUUAAUCGGAUUUACUGGGCGUAAAGCGUGCGUAGGCGGCCAAUUAAGUCGAAUGUGAAAUCCCCGAGCUUAACUUAGGAAUUGCAUUCGAUACUGGUUAGCUAGAGUAUGGGAGAGGAUGGUAGAAUUCCAGGUGUAGCGGUGAAAUGCGUAGAGAUCUGGAGGAAUACCGAUGGCGAAGGCAGCCAUCUGGCCUAAUACUGACGCUGAGGUACGAAAGCAUGGGGAGCAAACAGGAUUAGA
rnacentral:rRNA from 1 species